CAAGUCGAAUGGGUUUAGACCCAUGGCAGACGAGGUAGGAACACGUGGGUACAUACCGUAGAGUCGGGGAUAAUCUGGAGAAAUCCAGGAUAAUACUCGAUGGUCCCUUCGGGGUAAAGAUUUAUCGCUCUAUGAAUGGCCCGCGUUCUAUCAGCUUGUUGGUAAGGUAACGGCUUACCAAGGCUACGACGGAUAGGGGAGGUGAGAGCCUGACCCCCACCGAUGGAACUGCGACACGGUCCAU
rnacentral:rRNA from 1 species